GAUGAACGCUGGCGGCGUGCCUAAUACAUGCAAGUCGAGCGAAUGGAUUAAGAGCUUGCUCUUAUGAAGUUAGCGGCGGACGGGUGAGUAACACGUGGGUAACCUGCCCAUAAGACUGGGAUAACUCCGGGAAACCGGGGCUAAUACCGGAUAACAUUUUGAACCGCAUGGUUCGAAAUUGAAAGGCGGCUUCGGCUGUCACUUAUGGAUGGACCCGCGUCGCAUUAGCUAGUCGGUGAGGUAACGGCUCACAAAGGCAACGAUGCGUAGCCGACCUGAGAGGGUGAUCGGCCACACUGGGACUGAGACACGGCCCAGACUCCUGCGGGAGGUAGCAGUAGGGGAUCUUCCGCAAUGGACGAAAGUCUGACGGAGCAACGCCGCGUGAGUGAUGAAGGCUUUCGAGUCGUAAAACUCUGUUGUUAGGGAAGAACAAGUGCUAGUUGAAUAAGCUGGCACCUUGACGGUACCUAACCAGAAAGCCACGGCUAACUACGUGCCAGCCGCCGCCGUAA
rnacentral:rRNA from 1 species